rnacentral:rRNA from 1 species
CCUACGGGGGGCUGCAGUGGGGAAUAUUGCACAAUGGGCGCAAGCCUGAUGCAGCCAUGCCGCGUGUGUGAAGAAGGCCUUCGGGUUGUAAAGCACUUUCAGCGGGGAGGAAGGCGGUGAGGUUAAUAACCUCAUCGAUUGACGUUACCCGCAGAAGAAGCACCGGCUAACUCCGUGCCCGCAGCCGCGGUAAUACGGAGGGUGCAAGCGUUAAUCGGAAUUACUGGGCGUAAAGCGCACGCAGGCGGUCUGUCAAGUCGGAUGUGAAAUCCCCGGGCUCAACCUGGGAACUGCAUUCGAAACUGGCAGGCUAGAGUCUUGUAGAGGGGGGUAGAAUUCCAGGUGUAGCGGUGAAAUGCGUAGAGAUCUGGAGGAAUACCGGUGGCGAAGGCGGCCCCCUGGACAAAGACUGACGCGCAGGUGCGAAAGCGUGGGGAGCAAACAGGAUUAGAUACCCUUGUAGUC